AGUGCAAUAUCUUUGAGACACGCCUAAUGUACACGUAAUAGUAUAGAGGACGACGUUAUAAGCUUAACACGAUUUACUGCGGUGUAAUUUUAUUUAACACCCAUACGCGAUGCAAAUAACGUGAAUUGAUUUCACCCUUUUUUCAGUACGGGUUUACGGUUUAGAGUGUAAAACUGUGCAAGUUUACGUACACAGCAAACGGGAAUACCGAAGCGUUUGGAUC